AUAAUACUCCCUCCGUCCCAAAAUUCUUGUCUUAAAUUUGUCUAGAUACAGAUGUAUCUAACACUAAAACGUAACUAGAUAUGUCCGUAUUUAGACAAGUCUAAGACAAGAAUUUUGGAACAUAGGGAGUAUAAA
rfam:Triticum urartu cultivar G1812 contig486303, whole genome shotgun sequence.